UUUGGAGGAGUAAAAAUGUAACAAGGUUUCCGUAGGUGAACCUGCGGAAGGAUCAUUCAUAAUAAGAGUGUUUAUGGCACUCUUCAAAAAAAUCCAUACCCACCUUGUGUGCAAUGUAAAAAGAAGCAUGGGAGGGUCUUGGGGUAACCAAGGUCUUUUCUGCUUUCUUUUCUAUUCUAUACACCUUUCUAUAAGCUCCUAUUGUCUGAAACUGUUAUAGAAUCACUAAUUCUUAAACAUAACUUUCAACAACGGAUCUCUUGGCUCUCGCAUCGAUGAAGAACGCAGCGAAAUGCGAUACGUAAUGUGAAUUGCAGAAUUCAGUGAAUCAUCGAAUCUUUGAACGCAUAUUGCGCUCUUUGGUAUUCCGAAGAGCAUGCUUGUUUGAGUAUCAGUAAACACCUCAACCAGAUUUCUUUCUGGAUGGAUUUGAGCAAACCCAACACUCUUUCACGAGGGCGGCGGGUUGCUUGAAAUGCAGGUGCAGCUGUAACAAGAACAGACUGAGCUAAAAGCAUAUCUAAUUUAGUCCGUCUCGGCGGAUUAUUACCAUUUGCUGCAGCUACUCUAAGGUCCUCUUGUCGAGCUGACUGAUGCAGGAUUUGUCAGAUUGCACACUCUCGGGUGUGAGUUCUUUCAAAACUCGAUCUCAAAUCAAGUAAGACUACCCGCUGAACUUAAGCAUAUCAA
rnacentral:rRNA from 1 species